rnacentral:rRNA from 1 species
AUUGAACGCUGGCGGCAUGCUUUACACAUGCAAGUCGAACGGUAACAGGCCGCAAGAUGCUGACGAGUGGCGAACGGGUGAGUAAUGCAUCGGAACGUGCCCAGUCGUGGGGGAUAACUACUCGAAAGAGUAGCUAAUACCGCAUACGAUCUAUGGAUGAAAGCGGGGGACCGUAAGGCCUCGCGCGAUUGGAGCGGCCGAUGUCAGAUUAGGUAGUUGGUGGGGUAAAGGCUCACCAAGCCAACGAUCUGUAGCUGGUCUGAGAGGACGACCAGCCACACUGGGACUGAGACACGGCCCAGACUCCUACGGGAGGCAGCAGUGGGGAAUUUUGGACAAUGGGCGCAAGCCUGAUCCAGCAAUGCCGCGUGCAGGAAGAAGGCCUUCGGGUUGUAAACUGCUUUUGUACGGAACGAAACGGCUCUGGUUAAUACCCGGGGCUAAUGACGGUACCGUAAGAAUAAGCACCGGCUAACUACGUG